CCCUUAGAUGUUCUGGGCCGCACGCGCGCUACACUGAUGCAUUCAACGAGCCUAUCCUUGACCGACAGGUCCGGGUAAUCUUUGAAUCUGCAUCGUGACGGGGAUAGAUUAUUGCAAUUAUUAAUCUUCAACGAGGAAUGCCUAGUAGGCGCAAGUCAUCAGCUUGCGUCGAUUACGUCCCUGCUCUUUGUACACACCGCCCGUCGCUCCUACCGAUUGGGUGUGCUGGUGAAAUGUUCGGAUCGGCCGUUUGUCGCGGUUUCCGCGUCAUGUGGCUGAGAAGUUCAUUAAACCCUCCCACCUAGAGGAAGGAGAAGUCGUAACA
rnacentral:rRNA from 1 species